rnacentral:rRNA from 1 species
GGGAGGCAGCAGUGGGGAAUCUUCCGCAAUGGGCGAAAGCCUGACGGAGCAACGCCGCGUGAGUGAUGACGGCCUGGGGUUGUAAAACUCUGUGAUCCGGGACGAAAAGGCAGAGUGCGAAGAACAAACUGCAUUGACGGUACCGGAAAAGCAAGCCACGGCUAACUACGUGCCAGCAGCCGCAAUAAUACGUAGGUGGCAAGCGUUGUCCGGAAUUAUUGGGCGUAAAGCGCGCGCAGGCGGCUUCCCAAGUCCCUCU